rnacentral:rRNA from 1 species
UACGGAGGGUGCAAGCGUUAUCCGGAAUUACUGGGUUUAAAGGGUACGUAGGCGGCUUGAUAAGUCAGUGGUGAAAUGCUUCAGCUUAACUGAGGACUUGCCAUUGAUACUGUUUAGCUUGAAAGGAUUGGAGGCUGGCGGAAUGCGUCAUGUAGCGGUGAAAUGCAUAGAUAUGACGUAGAACACCGAUUGCGAAGGCAGCCAGCCACGCUCACUUUGACGCUGAGGUACGAAAGCGUGGGUAGCGAACAGG